rnacentral:rRNA from 1 species
UACGGAGGGUGCAAACGUUGCUCGGAAUCAUUGGGCGUAAAGCGCACGUAGGCGGCUUGUUAAGUCGGGUGUGAAAGCCCCAGGCUCAACCUGGGAAGUGCACUCGAAACUGGCGAGCUUGAAUAUGGAAGAGGGUCGCGGAAUUCCCGGUGUAGAGGUGAAAUUCGUAGAUAUCGGGAGGAACACCAGUGGCGAAGGCGGCGACCUGGGCCAAUAUUGACGCUGAGGUGCGAAAGCGUGAGGAGCAAACAGG